AGUGGGCGUGCAGGAGAAGCUGUAGGUCAGGAGGUAGAGUUGGCAGUGGGCGUGCAGGAGAAGCUGUAGGUCGGAGAGGUAGAGGUGGCAGUGGGCGUGCAGGAGAAGCUGUAGGUCAGGGGGUAGAGGUGGCAGUGGGCGUGCAGGAGAAGCUGUAGGUCAGAGUGGAUAGGUGGCAGUGGGCGUGCAGGAGAAGCUGUAGGUCAGGAGGUAGAGGUGGCAGUGGGCGUGCAGGAGAAGCUGUAGGUCAGGAGGUAGAGGUGGCAGUGGGCGUGCAGGAGAAGCUGUAGGUCAGGAGGUAGAGUUGGCAGUGGGCGUGCAGGAGAAGCUGUAGGUCGGAGAGGUAGAGGUGGCAGUGGGCGUGCAGGAGAAGCUGUAGGUCGGGAGGUAGAGGUGGCAGUGGGCGUGCAGGAGAAGCUGUAGGUCAGAGUGGAGAGGUGGCAGUGGGCGUGCAGGAGAAGCUGUAGGUCAGGGGGUAGAGGUGGCAGUGGGCGUGCAGGAGAAGCUGUAGGUCAGGGGGUAGAGGUGGCAGUGGGCGUGCAGGAGAAGCUGUAGGUCAGGAGGUAGAGGUGGCAGUGGGCGUGCAGGAGAAGGUGUAGGUCAGGGGGUAGAGGUGGCAGUGGGCGUGCAGGAGAAGCUGUAGGUCGGGAGGUAGAGGUGGCAGUGGGCGUGCAGGAGAAGCUGUAGGUC
rnacentral:lncRNA from 1 species